ensembl:lncRNA
CAGAGAUGAGAGACAGUAAUAAUAACUUGAGCAGUAAAAGGCUUAAGCCAAAACCACGCGGCUCCCAGGCACGCCUUCCUGCCGAAGUCAGGCUAUCAGCAAGCCCAGCUCUGCUGCUGUCAACAUAAUCCCAGUGCCAAGAAGCACGAGAGCCCUUGCAGAGAGCAGCCUCCCUCCAGAGGCCAGUUGCGGGAUGUCCAUAUGCCCUUGUGCUUUCACACUGACAGUUAAAUGCCAGCACAACGCUAAGCCAGAAAGUUCUAUGGAGGAUGACAGCUAUAUUACUCCACUUGUUCUGUACAGGGGCCAUGUAGCUCUGUCAGUCUGGCACCUUCUAGUACCAAACAAAACUGCUCAGUCUUUAUACUUCAAAUGCUUUGAAGCAGCUGUUCAGCACUGAAAUCUCUUUACGUGUCAUUAGACUGCUUUGGAGCUGUAAAGUGAUCACGUCAGUAAUGGAGGCUUUACCCAUCACGAUGAGGUAUGUAUCUGGUAGGACUGAUUGAGGUUAACAUUUACAAAAAGAGUAAAACAAGAGGAAAACAUACAUGCUCUUCAGUAACAAAUGUUCUUUGGAAUAGUCCUGGUUAGGAGAUAAUUUACUACAGAUUAUCUCAUGGCUAACAUGGUGGGUAAAACCUCUCUGCUAUGUGCCAUACAAACUGCAUUCAUCCACGUUACCUCGGAGACUGUCCCCACACAGUACUGCUGCACUUAUUUAGGUCUUGCAUCAUAUAGGGCCUAAAGGCAAUAUGUUCUCCAUCAAAAACAAUCAACCAAGGCAGCAAAGUACAAGACUAAUAAAUCAGCCAACUCAUUAUAGGGCACUAGCAUGAAAUAGCUACUUUGCAAGUAGUGCUCCUUGCAAGGAAAAUAAUGAAAGACUGUGUGUUAAGAAGUGCCUCUAUCUAUUUCUGACUCACCACAAUCUCGUGCCGGGGAUCGCCUGCCCUUGUGUGCUGUUGGACGCGUAUCCAGCUGUGUACCACCACCUCCCUGGCAAAACGUAUUUCAUAUCAGGCAUGGAGUUUGACCUCAAACCUCCUAAUGCUAGAGGUCAUUUCUGCAAAUAGCUCAGCAGCUCAUCCUGGCUAGGCACACAGCCGGGCCCAACAGCAGGAUGCAGGGCCAGGUGGCCAGUGGCAGUUGAAGGUUGAAAUUAGGUUGGAAAAGACCACUGAGAUCAUCAUGUCCAACCACCAGCCCACCCCCACCAUGCCCACUAACCACGUCCCUCAGUGCCACAUCUCCGUGGUUCCGGAGCACCCCCAGGGGCACUGGAGGCACUGAAGGCAGAGUAUGGAGGAGACGUGCAGGUGUCUCGGAAGGAGCCAGCAGCAGUGGGGCUCCCGCUGCAGCUCCCUUAAACAACACUGUGCACUUUUACCUGUUUGUUAGUGCUGUUUUUCCUGUGGACACGUACAUUUCUUCCUCCCAUCAGGUCUACUGGCAGUUAGGCUUCAAUUCGAGCCUAACACGCCUGACCUACAUCGUGCUGCCACACAAAC